AGCAGCCGCGGUAAUUCCAGCUCCAAUAGCGUAUAUUAAAGUUGUUGCAGUUAAAAGCUCGUAGUUGAAUUUCGGGGUCUGUCCGUCGGUCGGGCUUCACGGUCCGUACUGGUGUGAUGGGUUCCUACCUUCUGAAUAACCGGCAUGCCAUUCAGUUAGUGCGCCGGGGAAGCAGAGCUAUUACCUUGAAAAAUUGAUGCUUAAAGCAGGCUAGUGCUUGAAUAGAUUAGCAUGGAAUAAUAAAAUAGGACGGCAUGGUUCUAUUUUGUUGGUUUCUAGGAUCACCGUAAUGAUUAAUAGGGAUAGUUGGGGGCAUUAGUAUUCAAUUGUCAGAGGUGAAAUUCUUGGAUUUAUUGAAGACUAACUUCUGCGAAAGCAUUUGCCAAGGAUGUU
rnacentral:misc_RNA from 1 species